rnacentral:rRNA from 1 species
GAAUGACUGGGCGUUAAUCGGACGCCGACUGAUGUAUUACCUCAGAUUCCACUCCCCGGGGUGCACCUGUGAAUUGCAUUUUAGGAUUAGCCAGCAGCCUUUCUUCCCGGGGGGUAGAAUUUCAUGUGUAGCGGUGAAAUGCGUAGAGAUGUGGAGGAAUACCGGUGGCGAAGGCGGCCCCCUGGACAAAGACUGACGCUCAGGUGCGAAAGCGUGGGGAGCAAACAGGAUUAGAUACCCUGGUAGUCCACGCUGUAAACGAUGUCGAUUUGGAGGUUGUUCCCUUGAGGCGUGGCUUUCGGAGCUAACGCGUUAAAUCGACCGCCUGGGGAGUACGGCCGCAAGGUUAAAACUCAAAUGAAUUGACGGGGGCCCGCACAAGCGGUGGAGCAUGUGGUUUAAUUCGAUGCAACGCGAAGAACCUUACCUACUCUUGACAUCCAGAGAAGUUAGCAGAGAUGCUUUGGUGCCUUCGGGAACUCUGAGACAGGUGCUGCAUGGCUGUCGUCAGCUCGUGUUGUGAAAUGUUGGGUUAAGUCCCGCAACGAGCGCAACCCUUAUCCUUUGUUGCCAGCGAUUCGGUCGGGAACUCAAAGGAGACUGCCGGUGAUAAACCGGAGGAAGGUGGGGAUGACGUCAAGUCAUCAUGGCCCUUACGAGUAGGGCUACACACGUGCUACAAUGGCGUAUACAAAGAGAAGCGACCUCGCGAGAGCAAGCGGAACUCAUAAAGUACGUCGUAGUCCGGAUUGGAGUCUGCAACUCGACUCCAUGAAGUCGGAAUCGCUAGUAAUCGUAGAUCAGAAUGCUACGGUGAAUACGUUCCCGGGCCUUGUACACACCGCCCGUCACACCAUGGGAGUGGGUUGCAAAAGAAGUAGGUAGCUUAACUUUCGGGAGGGCGCUUACCACUUUGUGAUUCAUGACUGGGGUGAAGUCGUAGAGA